rnacentral:rRNA from 1 species
UACGUAGGAGGCAAGCGUUGUCCGGAAUUACUGGGUGUAAGGCGCGUGUAGGCGGCAGGCCAAGCCUGUGGUGAAAUCGCUCGGCUCAACUGGGCGGGGUCCAUGGAAACUGGUCAGCUGGAGGACGGUAGAGGUGAGUGGAAUUCCCGGUGUAGUGGUGAAAUGCGUAGAGAUCGGGAGGAACACCCGUGGCGAAGGCGGCUCACUGGGCCGGUCCUGACGCUGAGACGCGAAGGCGUGGGGAGCGAACGGG